rnacentral:rRNA from 1 species
CCUACGGGAGGCUGCAGUGGGGAAUAUUGGGCAAUGGGCGCAAGCCUGACCCAGCAACGCCGCGUGAAGGAAGAAGGCCUUCGGGUUGUAAACCUCUUUUCUGAGGGACGAAGUAAGUGACGGUACCUCACGAAUAAGCCACGGCUAACUACGUGUCAGCAGCCGCGGUAAUACGUAGGUGGCAAGCGUUAUUCGGAUUUAGUGGGUGUAAAGGGCGUGUAGGCGGGAUAGCAAGUCAGGUGUGAAAACUCAGGGCACAACCCUGAGCCUGCAUUUGAAACUGUGUUUCUUGAGUGCUGGAGAGGCAAUCGGAAUGCCGGGUGUAGCGGUGAAAUGCGUAGAUAUACGGAGGAACACCAGUGGCGAAGGCGGAUUGCUGGACAGUAACUGACGCUGAGGCGCGAAAGCGUGGGGAGCGAACAGGAUUAGAUACCCCGGUAGUC